CUGACCUCAAAUCAGGUAGGACUACCCGCUGAACUUAAGCAUAUCAAUAAGCGGAGGAAAAGAAACUAACAAGGAUUCCCUUAGUAGCGGCGAGCGAAGCGGGAUGAGCUCAAAUUUGAAAUCUGGCGUCUUUCAGGCGUCCGAGUUGUAAUCUAUAGAAGCGUUUUCUGUGCUGGACCGUGUCCAAGUCCCUUGGAACAGGGUAUCAAAGAGGGUGACAAUCCCGUACUUGACACGACCACCAGUGCUCUGUGAUACGUUUUCGACGAGUCGAGUUGUUUGGGAAUGCAGCUCAAAAUGGGUGGUAAAUUCCAUCUAAAGCUAAAUAUUGGCGAGAGACCGAUAGCGAACAAGUACCGUGAGGGAAAGAUGAAAAGCACUUUGGAAAGAGAGUUAAACAGUACGUGAAAUUGUUGAAAGGGAAACGAUUGAAGUCAGUCGUGUCUAUUGGUUUCAGCCGGUCCUGCCGGUGUAUUACCUUUAGACGGGUCAACAUCAGUUUUGGACGGCAGAUAAGGGCAGUUUGAAGGUAGCACCUCCGGGUGUGUUAUAGCUUUCUGCCGCAUAUGCUGUCCGAGACUGAGGACUGCAGCUCGCCUUCACAGGCCGGGGUUCGCCCACGUUCGAGCUUAGGAUGUUGACAUAAUGGCUUUAAACGACCCGUCUUGAAACACGGACC
rnacentral:rRNA from 1 species